rnacentral:rRNA from 1 species
GAUGAACGCUGGCGGCGUGCUUAACACAUGCAAGUCGAACGGUGAAGGCGGAGCUUGCUCUGCUGGAUCAGUGGCGAACGGGUGAGUAACACGUGAGCAAUCUGCCCCUGACUCUGGGAUAAGCGCUGGAAACGGCGUCUAAUACUGGAUACGAGCUGCGAAGGCAUCUUCAGCAGCUGGAAAGAACUUCGGUCAGGGAUGAGCUCGCGGCCUAUCAGCUUGUUGGUGAGGUAACGGCUCACCAAGGCGUCGACGGGUAGCCGGCCUGAGAGGGUGACCGGCCACACUGGGACUGAGACACGGCACAGACUCCUACGGGAGGCAGCAGUGGGGAAUAUUGCACAAUGGGCGAAAGCCUGAUGCAGCAACGCCGCGUGAGGGAAGACGGCCUUCGGGUUGUAAACCUCUUUUAGCAGGGAAGAAGCGAAAGUGACGGUACCUGCAGAAAAAGCGCCGGCUAACUACGUG